GUCAGUGUAGAAAGCCCAGGCAUUGUCCCAUAGCUGGCCCUGUGUGUUUGCACUGAUUCCUCAGAAUAAGUUUGCAGAUAGCUUAACUUCCAGAAUUCCUGAGUUUCACUAGUCCCCCUUCUUUAUGAUGAAUUGGAAAAAGGGUAUAUUCUGGGAUAAAGCAAGAGGAAACUGGGUGCAGCAAAGAUCCCUAGACCAUUUUUCCCAGUGGCCCAUUGCUCCUGCUGCUUUUUUCAUACCAGCUGAAUCUCCCUAAACCCCACGUCUGCGGCAAAGUCUUCGUGGUGAAACAGGCAGUCUUCAGUACAAGAAGCGUCAAUCUCAGAUCUUACUCAUUUCCAACCUGUACCAAUCAAAGGCCCUCCCAGCCAAGAUAAAAGCAAAGUCUCCCUCCUCCAGAGCACAUGGGAAUGGCCCCCCAGUAGCUGGGGCAUGCAAGCUAAUGAAGUUUCAUCUUCCACCUCUAUCCAAAUAUGACCUUGCUGAUACCAUCUCCUAUUAGAUGACAAAUCCGGAUGUUUCUAUUGCAUGGUUGUUAUUUGCCACAUGCUUCCUGGACAAGUUUCUAGGUAACCUUAAUGUCUGUGCUUCUGGGGAAGGAGGAGUAGAAAAUAACUCACCUCUUCAGUAAGUGGUUUUAAAAAUAUAACAGUGUUUAAAAGCUUUUAGAGAGCAGCUCUCCUUCCGGCUGCUCCAGCUCUGUUUGCUUUGUGAUAGGAGCCCCCGUAACACUUCGUGCUUGGCAACAUCUGAC
rnacentral:lncRNA from 1 species